rnacentral:rRNA from 1 species
AUACGGAGGAUGCGAGCGUUAUUCGGAUUUAUUGGGCUUAAAGGGCGCGUAGGCGGUUUGGUAAGCGGGAGGUGAAAUGCCGGCGCUCAACGUCGGAAGUGCCUCCCGAACUGUCGGACUUGAGUGACUCAGCGGGGGGAGGAAUGUGAGGUGUAGCGGUGAAAUGCUUAGAGAUUACAAGGAACACCGAUUGCGAAGGCGUCUCACGAAGGGUUGAUUGACGCUGAGGCACGAAAGCGUGGGGAUCAAACAGGAUUAGAUACCCUGGUAGUCCACGCAGUAAGCGAUGAUGGCUAACCGCUGGGCUUAACAGUUCAGUGGCCCAGCUAAAGCGAUAAGCCAUCCGCCUGGGGAGUACGGCCGCAAGGUUGAAACUCAAAUGAAUUGACGGGG